rnacentral:rRNA from 1 species
CCUACGGGAGGCAGCAGUGGGGAAUAUUGCACAAUGGGGGAAACCCUGAUGCAGCGACGCCGCGUGAGUGAAGAAGUAUCUCGGUACGUAAAGCUCUAUCAGCAGGAAAGAAAAUGACGUUACCUGACUAAGGAGCCCCGGCUAACUACGUGCCAGCAGCCGCGGUAAUACGGAGGGGGCAAGCGUUAUCCGGAUUUACUGGGUGUAAGGGGAGCGUAGGCGGCGCUGCAAGUCCGGAGGGAAAGCCCAUGGCUGAACCACGGUACUGCUCUGGAAACUGUAGAGCUUGAGUGCGGGAGAGGUAGGCGGAAUUCCUAGUGUAGCGGUGAAAUGCGUAGAUAUUAGGAGGAACACCGGCGGCGAAGGCGGCCUGCUGGACCGUAACUGACGUUGAGGCUCGAAAGCGUGGGGAGCAAACAGGAUUAGAUACCCGAGUAGUC